CGGCGCGUAGCCGAGUUCGCCAAGGCAUCGGAUUUUGACUCCGACAUUCCGCAGGUUCGAGUCCUGCCGCACCGGCCA
rnacentral:tRNA from 1 species